rnacentral:rRNA from 1 species
GACGAACGCUGGCGGCGUGCUUAACACAUGCAAGUCGAACGGAAAGGCCCUGCUUUUGUGGGGUGCUCGAGUGGCGAACGGGUGAGUAACACGUGAGUAACCUGCCCUUGACUUUGGGAUAACUUCAGGAAACUGGGGCUAAUACCGGAUAGGAGCUCCUGCUGCAUGGUGGGGGUUGGAAAGUUUCGGCGGUUGGGGAUGGACUCGCGGCUUAUCAGCUUGUUGGUGGGGUAGUGGCUUACCAAGGCUUUGACGGGUAGCCGGCCUGAGAGGGUGACCGGGCACAUUGGGACUGAGGUACGGACCAGACGCGUACGGGAGGCAGCAGUGGGGAAUAUUGCACAGUGGGCGGAAGCCUGAUGCAGCAACGCCGCGUGCGUGAUGACGGCCUUCGGGUUGUGAACCGCUUUCGCCUGUGACGAGGCGUGAGUGACGGUAAUGGGUAAAGAAGCACCGGCUAACUACGUG